UCGCGCGUCGUCCGUCGUCGCCGCCGCCGAUUCCUAGGUCACGCCACCGCUCCCCUGCCUUCUCUCUUUCCUCUCCCUCUCUCCCUCUCUAAUCUCAUUUUCUCUCCUUCUCUCUAGGAGCUCAGCGUGCGAGGGCAUCUCCACCGGCCAGAUCUGGUGCCUCCCUCCCGGAUCCGCGCGCCAUCCACCUCCUCUACCCGAUCCGGCGCCGCCCAACCCGCCAUGACCUUCACGAUGGCGCCCGCCGAGAUCCUGUCCUCCCCGUCGACGCGCCAUCGUCGCAUGAGGACUUGGAUGCCGGGCUCGCUGACAACCUCCCCCAAAUCCUACAGGGUUCAGUUGAAGGCUUGUGAAGAUGGGUUGGGGAAUAUCCCGGUUGAUUGGACUCAAGGCAGCUGUCUUGCUCACUGACAGCUCACUGCGGCGUAUUUCGCUCAUGGACUGGGCAUGAAAGUGCUCUCAUUGCCCCUCAUAUGCGCUUGCCUGAUUGCCGUGCUUAUCUCCAUUGCUUCCCAUCCGUCGGUCGACCUCCCGUUGCUCCUCGGCAAGGCAUCCAAUGGAAGCUUUCCCCUAUGGUCAUGGGUCAUGUUCUCGCCUUUUCUCUUUUUCAUUCAUCUGUUUGUGCUGUUGCGGAGAUUUGUUAAAAAUGUAAAUUUGCUAGCUUUGAUAUCGAGAAAGAUAUUUUCCCGAAUAAUGGGCAAUCACUUAUACCAAGAAACCUGAUAUUUUCAAAACUGCCUAUGGUGUCAUCCUCUGGCAUGGUCUCAUGCCUGAAGUUGCGCCCAAUAAGAAGGGUGGUGAGGUUUUUGGAGA